rnacentral:tmRNA from 1 species
GGGGGCGUAAAGGUUUCGACGGGGAUUUUGAACUGAAUUAAGCGAGUAGCGGAGUUGCACCGCUUUAAAAGUAACACUUUAUAAAUUAAACAACACUAAUAAUGUUGCAUUAGCAGCCUAAGUGCUGCUCGUUCCCUGCCGGAAUACUGCGACCGGCUUGCGGAACGUCGAAUAGCGGUAAAUGUGAGCAGAAAAUAGUCUUGUAUUCUGCCAUAAAUUAAAGGACUACCGAAUUUAACAGGCUGUUGGUUGUCGGUUAUUUUAGGAAAAUUUAAAUAAUCAACUGCACUCGGAGAAAGAUUUAGGAACGAAUUUUCGGACAGGAGUUCGACUCUCCUCGCCUC